GGGCUCUCUUUCUGUUAUCAAAUUUGUCGGGGAACAAAAAGGGCUCCAGUUCUCCGAGGCAGAACAUCUUGAGCGCUCAGAAGGAGCGCAUUCCUGCCUGAGAGUCUGCAGCGGCCCGGCGCGGUUCCAGACGCCAGCUCUCCGUCCAGCCGCCGAGCGAGGGAUUAAUUCACCGCGCAGCGUCAACAACAACAGACGCCUCUCCCGCUGCCCUGCGUCGAGGGCGCCCACAGGCUGAAGAGCUCUCCUUAGGGGCGACCAUGGACUCCACCACCACCACCCUGUCGGUCCCCUUCCUGCCCACCAACCAAUCAGAGGUCUGCGCGGGGGCGGACGCCACGCUGGAGAACACGCUGUUCGGCGUCUUCUACGUCCUGGUGUUCUUCCUGGCGCUGAACGGCAACGCGCUGGCGCUCUGGAUCUUCUCCCACCAGCGCGGCGCCGCCUCCCCGGCCAACGUGUUCAUGCUGCACCUGGCGGUCGCCGACCUGUGCUACGUCUUCAUCCUGCCACUGCGCGCCGCCUACCACCUGACGGGCGGCCACUGGCCCUUCGGCGAGGCGGCGUGCCGUGCGGCGGGCUUCCUGUUCUACGUCAACAUGUACGCCAGCCUGUACUUCCUGGCGUGCGUGGCGGGCGACCGCUACCUGGCCGUGGUGCACGCCGUGCGCUCGCUGAAGGCGCGGCGCGCCCGCUCGGCCCACAUCGCCAGCCUGCUGCUGUGGGCGAUGGUCGCGGUCAGCAUGGCGCCGCUGCUGCUGUCGCGGCAGACGGCCGAGGUGGACGGCGUCACCGUGUGCCGGCAGCUGUACCGGGAGAAGGCGUCGCGUCGGGCGCUGGUGUCGCUGGGCGUGGCCUUCACGCCGCCCUUCCUGUUCACGCUCGCCUGCUACCUGCUGAUCGUGCGCUCGCUGCGGCGCGGCUCGCGGCUGGACCCCGCCCUGAAGACCAAGGCGCUGCGCACCAUCGGCCUGGUGAUGCUGAUCUACGUGCUCUGCUUCCUGCCGUACCACGUCAGCCGCGCCACCUUCAUCCUGGGCUACGCCCGCCCGGACGUGGGCUGCGAGGCGCGCCGCGCACUGAGCCUGGCCAACCGCCUCACGUCGGCGCUCACCUGCCUGAACGCCGCCCUGGACCCCCUGGUGUACCUGUUUGGCGCCGAGAAGUUCCGCGGGACGGUGCGCCGGAUGUUCUGCCGGGAGGAGGCGGCGGGCAUCUCCGCGGCGACCAGCGGCGAGUUGAAGGGGACGCACGAGAGCUCGCUCAGCGCCAAGUCUGAGUUCUGAACGGGUCUGCCGAACGCUUGACGACACUUCAGAGUUCGGUGUUCAAGGGUUUGAGUGGCGUCGAGAACUCGUUGUGUGCUUUACGAAUUCUGAGUUCCGAAAUAGAGUUUGUGAAACAUGUUUCGAACUCUUUGUACACCUUUUUAAUUUCUUUUUAAACGUUGGCGUUUUUUCUAUCAAACCGUGGUACAUAAACGGCCGAUCUCUUGAGCGCGCUACGCUGCACUGUAUCGUUACGUAGGCGUCUUGUGUACGUCGGAGACGACGGGCUAAAUUGGUUACAAAGGCUAAUUAAGAAACUAUUGAUUGGCUCAUGAUGAUACUCGUGUAUUUGUAGGUUUUUUUAUACUGGAAAUGUUUCAGCUCAGUGGUGACCACUAGCACUUAUUGAUUAUAUCGAUGUUGAUGAUUAUUAAUUGUUGAUUUAUUAUUAACAAACCAAAAGAUAAAUGACUGGAGAUGUAAUUAGAGUGUACAUAUAGGUCGACAGUUUAUUUCUUAUUUUUAUUUUUUGUACUUAUUUACUCCCAAUAUUCCUACAUAUUACUCUGUACAAUUAAACACACACACACACACACACACACACACACACACACACACACACACACACACACACACACACACACACACUCUCUCUCUUGGUGAGAUGAGUCAUCUCAAUCAGCGUUAUGUCUUCGUCAUUCUGAAUAACUUCUUAGAAACUGACACCUUGCUUCAAUAACUAAUCUAUCCAGGUUCAGCUUCUAUGUAAAUAUAAGUCUAUAUAAGUCCACAAAUGUCUCAUCAAGUCAUUCAAGUUUCAUAUCGCUGAGCUCGAAUUACAUCAUUUCAAUAUCCUACCACCAUAAAAGGAUCCACCAAAUUAAAAUCAAGCCAAAGUUUUCUAUAUUACGACGCUUAAACUUUGCUAAAUGGAAAUAUUAAUCAUCCAUUUUACGGUUACUUGAAGUCGUACUUUUGAACUGUAUUAAUUAUUGCUGAGUAACUGCCAGGAAAAACGCUGUAUUUUGUGAUACAAAUUCUAACCAAUAUCUCUUGUGAUACUUAUUUCAUAAAUAUGCCCCUCGUACCAAUAAAAGAACUUUGGUCGCUAAUUAAAAUGUGUCCGUUAUUGUUCGGGUCAACAAUGCAAAUGUUUCUCAUUAUUUCGGCCCGUUUCUGGAAACAGAAGAGCCUCCUCUUUCUGCUACUUCCUCUAAGCUGCAGAGAAAGGACCUCGGUGUGAAGGAAUCGAGGGUGAGAAUCACGACGACGUGAGCGCUCGCUUUCUGCUCUCAGCUCUCUGCUCUGGGGUCUCCGCUACUAGGAGUUGACUCGAGUCAUUCUCCCCAGUCAUCGUAUAUUUGCAUCAAAGUUAGAUCACCACUCUAUAUGUAUUUAGUAUUUAUAAAACAGUGGUGUGUCCGGUACCAUAGUGGACCUAUCCACUAUGUUGACUAAUCCACUAUGGUCUUUUCCAGGCGGGUCUCGGGGGUUAUGGUCCACCCAAGACCCCCUGUAAACACACCCCUGAUAGAAGGUUUUUAACUCUCGAAACUUUUUACCCUUAAAACUUUAAAUUGUGUCCGUCAGUAUUGUACUCUGAGUUUAUUAAAGUAUUUAUACUUGUAAAACGUACGUAAACAAGCCUUUAACUUUGUACGAGUACCAGUGUCGGUAAAGUGAGUGACAGCGAUCACAAGGACUCCUGCCGGCUCUCCCUCCGCGUCAUGUGACCCAACUUGUGGUCUGGUGAGGUCGUGUUUUUGCUUCUUUCCUUAUUUGAGCAAGACUUCCUGUCCGGGCCUCAGAUCACAAACCACUCUGAAGCAGAACUUCCUGCCUCUAAGUAUACCUCACCGUGUUCCCUCUGUAACUUAUUACACCAGGUACUAAUAUUAACUACCGCUAACAACGAUUACACACUGAAGCAGAGGCACGGUUUAGAACCAGUGGAAGGUUUCCCCCGUUUGGACACAUCAAAGUUACUUUCAAAGUGUUUUAAAGUAAUUUCAAGAUCUUCCGAGUCCUUCCUCUUGCAGGGGUCUCCUGUCCAUCUGGGGGGGGGGGUGAGGUGUGUGAACCCCAGGUGUGUCUGCUGAUGAGUUCUGGGUUCAACAGAGAUAAGCAGCAGCUGCCUCUGACCGCACAUGGCCUUUAACUCACUUCCCCUUCUGAAGUACCGUGCGGCGGCGGCGGCGGCUCCUUCCUCUGACAGCGCGGCAG